UACGUAGGGUGCGAGCGUUGUCCGGAAUUACUGGGCGUAAAGAGCUCGUAGGCGGUCUGUUAUGUCGGAUGUGAAAGCCCUUGGCUUAACUGAGGAAGUGCAUCCGAAACUGGCAGGCUAGAGUACUAAAGAGGGUCGCGGAAUUCCCGGUGUAGAGGUGAAAUUCGUAGAUAUCGGGAGGAACACCAGUGGCGAAGGCGACUACCUGGCCUGUUCUUGACGCUGAGGCGCGAAAGCUAGGGGAGCAAACGGG
rnacentral:rRNA from 1 species